AUGGCCGCCAACGCUCUCACCACACUUUUCUUUCUCGUCUUACUUUCAACUUCAUCCAUCUUACCUGCAGCAUCAAGAACAGUUUCCGAGACAAGAAGUAAGUCUCGUGGUCCAAUACCUUGAAUAACCUAUGAUAACUUGGUUUAUCGUUUUAUGUAUGUUGUACUCUGGUCUCAUGCAGAUGGAUUUCGGGGUAAAGGUGCCAAUCUUCCAGAGGUAAAGAUAAGCCCAGGUGUCUACCGUACACCACCUUCUGCAGGCACGGGUCGUCCUCCCCAGGCAGCCUAAGAUGAUUGAUAUCCCCCAGUCGGACGAUACUACACGAUUUGGGCUGGGAUGUUACUUCUUUUUAUAGUUGUUUGUAAGCUUAUAUACGUGCAUCUCAAGUAUCAAAAUAAUCUGUUUUUAUAUGUCCUCGUUUUGCUUAUGGAAAGCUGUAAAUUCAGAUUCCUCUUGUUUGUUUUGUGGUUCAUUUGGAC
rnacentral:lncRNA from 1 species